CUUAAGAUGGCCGAAGGUUAGGUGAAGGAUUGUAGCUCUUUUUAUGGAUUUUUCCUCUUUUGA
rnacentral:tRNA from 1 species